rnacentral:sRNA from 1 species
UGGGAUGAAAAAAAAAAAGAAUUGGUAACUGAAUUAAUACUUGUUUUUCAAAUGUAUGUUUAUUAUACAAAUUAAUGGGUUUUACUGUGACAUUUCCGUGUGUGUGUGUGUGUGUGUGUGUAUAGUGCUUUGAUCAUGUCUAUCCUUCUGUCUAUCCUCUUUACUCCUUCCACUCCCUUCCCGA